AAAGAUUAAGCCAUGCAUGUCUGAGUAUAAGCAAUUAUACAGCGAAACUGCGAAUGGCUCAUUAUAUAAGUUAUCGUUUAUUUGAUAGUACCUUACUACUUGGAUAACCGUGGUAAUUCUAGAGCUAAUACAUGCUGAAAAUCCCGACUUCGGAAGGGAUGUAUUUAUUAGAUUAAAAACCAAUGCCCUUCUGGGCUCUCUGGUGAUUCAUGAUAACUUCUCGAAUCGCACGGCCUCGCGCCGGCGAUGGUUCAUUCAAAUUUCUUCCCUAUCAACUUUCGAUGUUUGGGUAGUGGCCAAACAUGGUUGCAACGGGUAACGGAGGGUUAGGGCUCGACCCCGGAGAAGGAGCCUGAGAAACGGCUACUACAUCCAAGGAAGGCAGCAGGCGCGCAAAUUACCCAAUCCCGACACGGGGAGGUAGUGACAAUAAAUACUGAUACAGGGCUCUUUCGGGUCUUGUAAUUGGAAUGAGUACAAUUUAAAUCCCUUAACGAGGAACAAUUGGAGGGCAAGUCUGGUGAACAGUUGCUGGUGCCAGAGAGAGCUACCCCUCCCCCCGAAGUAGCUAGUCGAGCGCUCGAUCUGUGACGGGUGAGCGCCGGCGAGACAACCUGGAUCGGGGAAGGCUAAGGGCGGCCAAGCCGCCUAUGCUGAUCCCGAGCAGAGCCCGUGCCCUCCCCGGAGGCGCAGGCCUGCGUAGAGCGCGCCAAGGUGUCGGUCGUGGGGGAAGGGGGCCUUCCGGGAAGGCCCCCCCCCCUCCGGCUUAAGGUACGUGCCAACCCCCCGCGAAAGCGAGGCCCCGCGGAUCAGCACCCGUCGUGCGAAGCCGUGGGGGGCCUGCCCGCCCCUGGGCAGGCCGUCAGACAGUGGCCAGCAGCCGCGGUAAUUCCAGCUCCAAUAGCGUAUAUUAAAGUUGUUGUGGUUAAAAAGCUCGUAGUUGAACCUUGGGCCUGGCUGGCCGGUCCGCCUCACCGCGUGUACUGGUCCGGCCGGGCCUUUCCCUCUGUGGAACCCCAUGCCCUUCACUGGGCGUGGCGGGGAAACAGGACGUUUACUUUGAAAAAAUUAGAGUGCUCCAGGCAGGCCUAUGCUCGAAUACAUUAGCAUGGAAUAAUGAAAUAGGACGCGCGGUUCUAUUUUGUUGGUUUCUAGGACCGCCGUAAUGAUUAAUAGGGACAGUCGGGGGCAUCAGUAUUCAAUUGUCAGAGGUGAAAUUCUUGGAUUUAUUGAAGACUAACUACUGCGAAAGCAUUUGCCAAGGAUGUUUUCAUUAAUCAGGAACGAAAGUUAGGGGAUCGAAGACGAUCAGAUACCGUCGUAGUCUUAACCAUAAACUAUGCCGACUAGGGAUCGGACGAUGUUAUUUUUUGACUCGUUCGGCACCUUACGAGAAAUCAAAGUGCUUGGGCUCCAGGGGGAGUAUGGUCGCAAGGCUGAAA
rnacentral:rRNA from 1 species